rnacentral:rRNA from 1 species
GAUGAACGCUGGCGGCGUGCCUAAUACAUGCAAGUCGAGCGAACAGACGAGGAGCUUGCUCCUCUGACGUUAGCGGCGGACGGGUGAGUAACACGUGGAUAACCUACCUAUAAGACUGGGAUAACUUCGGGAAACCGGAGCUAAUACCGGAUAAUCUAUUGAACCGCAUGGUUCAAUAGUGAAAGACGGUUUUGCUGUCACUUAUAGAUGGAUCCGCGCCGCAUUAGCUAGUUGGUAAGGUAACGGCUUACCAAGGCAACGAUGCGUAGCCGACCUGAGAGGGUGAUCGGCCACACGGGAACUGAGACACGGUCCAGAGUCCUACGGGAGGCAGCAGUAUGGAAUCUGCCGCAAGGGGCGAAAGCCUGACGGAGCAACGCCGCGUGAGUGAUGAAGGUCUUCGGAUCGUAAAACUCUGUUAUUAGGGAAGAACAAAUGUGUAAGUAACUAUGCACGUCGUGACGGUACCGAAUCAGAAAGCCACGGCUAACUACGUG